UACGUAGGGGGCAAGCGUUGUCCGGAAUCAUUGGGCGUAAAGAGCGUGUAGGCGGUUCGAUAAGUCAGCUGUGAAAGUCCAGGGCUCAACCCUGGGAUGCCGGUUGAUACUGUCGGACUCGAGUCCGGAAGAGGCAAGUGGAAUUCCUGGUGUAGCGGUGAAAUGCGCAGAUAUCAGGAGGAACACCAAUGGCGAAGGCAGCUUGCUGGGACGUGACUGACGCUGAGACGCGAAAGCGUGGGGAGCGAACAGG
rnacentral:rRNA from 1 species